AUGUUUCAAGAACUAUAUGAUGAGGCUGCGGAUGAGCAUAGUGAAGAGGUAGACGAAGAUGUCUUUGCCUUGGCAUGCGGUCCUGAUCGGAGAGUCAGGAAAUACUCAUCGUGCAUAGUGAAUGGCAUUAGAUAUAGCACUGUUGACCGUGAUAGCAACAAGAGAUUGCAGAACAGUGGAGUCAUGGCCGAAGGUGAACAUAACGGUCAGGUCAUAGAUUUUUAUGGAACCUUGAAAGAGAUCAUUCAGUUGGACUACAACUUGGAUGACAGGUCAGUUGUUCUGUUUAAAUGUGACUGGUUUAAACUUGAUGGCAAGAAUACUGGGCUACGAAAUGAUCGUUUUUUUAAAAGCAUCAAUGUUGGAAGUUUAUGGUACAAGGACGAUUCUCUCAUUCUGGCUACUCGGGCUACAAAGGUCUUUUAUUUGCCAGACAUGAAGUAUGGGAAAAAUUGGCAAGUUGUGCAAACGUUUGAUCAUAGGCAUCUCUUCAAUAUUAGUGAAAAUGAGGGUGCACCUUUUGCUGGUCCUGCAUAUCAAGAGGAGGAGAGCUGUGAUGAGGCGAGAAAAAAGCACAGAAGUGUAUGA
rnacentral:rRNA from 1 species